AAAGGGUGCGUAGGCGGUCUCGUAAGUCAGUGGUGAAAUCCGGCAGCUCAACUGUCGAUGUGCCAUUGAUACUGCGUGACUUGAGUACAGACGAGGUAGGCGGAAUUGACGGUGUAGCGGUGAAAUGCUUAGAUAUCGUCAAGAACACCGAUAGCGAAGGCAGCUUACUAGACUGUAACUGACGCUGAUGCACGAAAGUGUGGGGAUCAAACAGGAUUAGAUACCCGAGU
rnacentral:rRNA from 1 species